UUGUUUGAACCGCAUGGUUCAGACAUAAAAGGUGGCUUCGGCUACCACUUACAGAUGGACCCGCGGCGCAUUAGCUAGUUGGUGAGGUAACGGCUCACCAAGGCGACGAUGCGUAGCCGACCUGAGAGGGUGAUCGGCCACACUGGGACUGAGACACGGCCCAGACUCCUACGGGAGGCAGCAGUAGGGAAUCUUCCGCAAUGGACGAAAGUCUGACGGAGCAACGCCGCGU
rnacentral:rRNA from 1 species